GUCGGCGUAGCUCAAUUGGAUAGAGCAGCGGACUUCUAAUCCGCAUGUUGAGGGUUCAAAUCCCUCCGCCGAUA
rfam:Candidatus Staskawiczbacteria bacterium RIFCSPHIGHO2_01_FTLL_36_16 rifcsphigho2_01_scaffold_32228, whole genome shotgun sequence.